GUCUUAGCCCAGUCCAGGCUGCACCAUAAAAGGAAUUCUGGCAGUUAGAUAAAAGCCUGCAUUCCUCAGGAACUUGUGAAACAGGUUCUCACAGAAAGGUGCUCUCAGCUCCAACACCACACCAUGCCUGCUCUGCUGCUGCGCCUCCUGCCUUCGUCUGCCUUCGUGGUCGUGCGGUCGGUCGUGGACUAAGCCUUUGAAACCAAGCCAGAAGAGAGCUUCAAGAACUAGAGUCACCGAUGUUCGCGAGCCGUCCCAUAUCGAUGCUGGGAACUGGACCCAAGAUCAAGCUACUUCUGGUUUGAUAAGCCACGCUGGACAACCCGUAAGCUUCUGGGGCUUCUCCUCCCUCCCUACUACUUCACCAUAGGAGCACGAGACUGCAGACCUGUGUUCCCAUGCCUGUUUUUGUACGUAUGUGUGUCACAUGUGUGUUCCCACGCUUAUUUUUGUGUGUGGCUUCUGGGGAUUUGAACUCAGAUCCUCACACUUCCCUGGCAAGUGCUUUAUGCCCUGAUCCAGCUCCCUAGCCUUCAGAACGAACCUUUAAACACAGACCUUGUCCAACCAAACAACAGAGCCUAAAUCCAUAUACUUAUUACAUAAAUAACAAAAAGCUCUGAAAAAGAUGCAAAUUGCAAAAUAUAUAUUCACUGGUGCCGGGUCCAUUUUUAGAUGUGGAUUAUGCUUUUCCACUUGUUAGUUAAAUAAGGUAUAAUUCAUUUUUCUGAGCUUGCACUUGCUCAUCUAUAAACUAUUAAUUACAAAAGUAAGGAUGCACACAGAUAUUAUUAAGAUUAAUAAGAAAAAUAAAACCAAUGUGCAGCACUUAUUCCAUUAUUUCAUUCUCCUUUCUUGAAACAUUACUAUACAGCCCUCAGCAGCCUACGGGACUGAAAGCAGGACUAAAGGAGAAUGCCAUGCUAAUAAUCCAGAGGGAAAGAGAGCACACACACUUCGCAGUGCCUCCCCAUUUUCCCCAUGGGCAUGAUGCUAUGUGACAUCCAUAUGACUGUUGUUGCAUUUUUGAAUGAAGUGUAGAGACAGCGGCUCUGAAUCUGGAGGUGGGCCCUGUAGCACAGAGGUAUAUAGAAGAGGGGUGUGCCUAGGGUUUGAUGCUAUUAUAACAACAAUUGUGAAGUCCCUUAACCACAACCUCAGUGUCUAGCAGGAGAGUUUCAGGGUAUGACUUAGUUGAUUUGUAUGGCCCUUUGGUCCUUGGGACUUUUUCUAAGCCAUGGUUUGUUUUUUCAUUAGUUCCUAAGGUUAACCUAACAACUAAGCAGGCCCAUGUGGGUUUUCUUUGAAGAAGGCUAGACAAAAAGAGAAGUCCUAGGUGAUUUCUAGUUCAGUGCAUAUCUAGAAUCGACAGAAAAUGGUUCUUCCUGGAACCUUUUGCAUUAAAGGCCUUGAGGAAAAGACUUCGCUCUUGUCUUUCAUAGUUUCUUUGUCAUGCCAACAAGAACUGUAGCUCAUUACUCAAUUUACUAACAAGGGAUGGUCUCAAGGGAUGGGCUAGCGGCCUUAGUCAGACUUAUGAGAACCAAGGAGAGGUUGCUGAAGUAUAAUGAGUGGGGGAUAAAUUGUUUUCUGCCCAUUUGUGUGUCUUUUUCUAAUCGAAGAAAGAAUUUCACAUGUAAGGAUUGGGGGCAAUCUUAAAAUGGGCUCCCUGAAAGCAGAGUUCACAAAAUGCCUCUUGAAAAUGAGAGAGGGAAAGAGUAAUGAAGAACUGAAUUUGCUUUAUAAGUUAUCUUCACAAACUUCAAGAUAACUUCUCAGGAAUCAUCGUGGAAAUGCAAACUAGAAGCUACAGGAGACAAAGCUUACACUUGUUAGAAUGGCUACCCUCAUAAAAUAAGAAACCGACGAAAGUUCAGAGGGUGAGGAGAAAAGGGAACACUUGUACACCACUGUCAGAAGUGGGACUUGGCCUGACCGUGAUGGAGGUCCCUCAAAACCCUAAAAGCUCUCGGAUGUAGUAAUAGCACUUCUGGGUACACAGUCAAAUGAGCGGGAGUCUUUCCGUGGGAGGCUAGGCGAGUAGCUCAACAGUAAAGCAUGCCCAUGAGUUCGAUUCUCAGUCCCAGAAAAAGUCAUUGCCAAAUUGAAAGAUGUCUGUCUACCUAUGCUUGCAGUGUGAUCCACAAAACAUGCAACCAACCCAAGCAGUCAUUAUAGGUGAGUAGAUGUGUCCCAUAUACACAGUAGAAUCUAUUCAGCCUUCAGAAAUCAUGUCACUUCUGACAGCAGGACUAACCUCAAUGACAUGCGAAGUGAAAUAAACAAGGACAAGGCAGGAAAAUCGAAAUGCUUCGUGAUCUCUCUUACAUAUAUGGUCAAAACAAAGAAAUGAACAAACAGACAGAUAACAGCACCAAAAAAAACAAACACAGCAAACCACCACAACAAAAAAUUACGGAAGCAGAGAGCAAAAUAUUGUUUAACCAGAGCCAGGGAGGUGGUGGCAGGGAGGGCAGAGACACAGGCUGACGGAAACGCAGGUCAGUUGCACAAGUGAAUGUGUUUUUGACAUGAUUAUACAACAUGGGGUUACAAUCAAUAAUAAUGUAUUAUAUAGUGGAAGUCUGCUGAGAGUGGACUUUAUUUGUUCUCCACACAGAAAGGAAAGAUGAUUGACAUUCUAAUUAGCUUGUUUUAAUUCUUCGAUAACAUGCAUCUAUAGCAUAUACAGAGAGAGUUUUCCUGACUAUGUCAUGACAUAGGUAUUCUCUAAGUUUGACAAGUGCAUAAAAUCUUCUAGAACCUUCCUAAUAUUGCAACACUUUAAUACAGUUCCUAAUGCUGUGGUGAUCGCCAACCAUAAAAUUAUUUUGUUGCUACUUCGUAACUGUAAUGAAUCAUACUGUAAAUAAUUUGGAAACAAAAUUUUGUCAAAGGGGUCACAUUAUUUGCAGUUUUACAUUAUUAGCCCCAAGAAAUAAAAAUUUAUGUUAUUUAUAAAUGCUUAUGGCUUGGACGUCAUUGAGACAUCUAGUUUCUGUUCACAUUUAAUGGGUGAAUCGAUGACGUAGUUCCCUCCACAGUCGUGCAUCCUGAACAAUCUUAAACCUCUCUUGUGAAAGAGAUAAACUUGCAUGUGGUAAUCCCAGGCUUCUUGUACUUCCUCUUUGGUUUUGUGUGACUGCAAUGCAAUGGUGUGCACAACUUGGUGAACACAGAGCUAAAACAACCCAACCAAGACAGAAGAGUAGUGAAAGAGUUAUCAUCUAAUCAACACGGAGAGCACAGAGUCCUUGCCAAAGCCAUGUUCUUCUCCAGGGCAAUGCGGAAGCUCUCCUCAGGGAGCAUAUGCAUCUAUAUCACAGUUGCUCUCUUCUGGUGUGUGCUGAGAUUAAAGUUAUGCAAAGAAAUAGAUAGGCAAGAGUGCUUCUGGGCAUGUUCAGUAUGCUCCAUAAAGUUUUGGUGAAAACUAAGGAAAAGGUACU